CAGUAGCCACGGGAACACGGAGGGCGCGAGCGUUACCCGGAUUUACUGGGCGUAAAGGGCGUGUAGGCGGCCUGGGGCGUCCCAUGUGAAAGGCCACGGCUCAACCGUGGAGGAGCGUGGGAUACGCUCAGGCUAGAGGGUGGGAGAGGGUGGUGGAAUUCCCGGAGUAGCGGUGAAAUGCGCAGAUACCGGGAGGAACGCCGAUGGCGAAGGCAGCCACCUGGUCCACUUCUGACGCUGAGGCGCGAAAGCGUGGGGAGCAAACCGGAUUAGAUACCCCCGUAGUCCUUGUCUCUUAUAC
rnacentral:rRNA from 1 species